rnacentral:rRNA from 1 species
UUGAACGCUGGCGGCAGGCCUAACACAUGCAAGUCGAACGGUAACAGGAAACAGCUUGCUGUUUCGCUGACGAGUGGCGGACGGGUGAGUAAUGUCUGGGAAACUGCCUGAUGGAGGGGGAUAACUACUGGAAACGGUAGCUAAUACCGCAUAACGUCGCAAGACCAAAGAGGGGGACCUUCGGGCCUCUUGCCAUCGGAUGUGCCCAGAUGGGAUUAGCUAGUAGGUGGGGUAACGGCUCACCUAGGCGACGAUCCCUAGCUGGUCUGAGAGGAUGACCAGCCACACUGGAACUGAGACACGGUCCAGACUCCUACGGGAGGCAGCAGUGGGGAAUAUUGCACAAAGGGCGCAAGCCUGAUGCAGCCAUGCCGCGUGUAUGAAGAAGGCCUUCGGGUUGUAAAGUACUUUCAGCGGGGAUGAAGGGAGUAAAGUUAAUACCUUUGCUCAUUGACGUUACCCGCAGAAGAAGCACCGGCUAACUCCGUG